rnacentral:rRNA from 1 species
AGGGAUCAUUACCGAGUUGCCAAGACUCCCCCACCAUUGUGAACCCUACCCCGCAGUUGCUUCGGCGGCAGCGAUGCCGCCGGCAGCCCCUAAACCCUCUGUUUUUUCAGGCCUCUCUGAGUACCAAAACAAAAAUAAGUCAAAACUUUCAACAACGGAUCUCUUGGCUCUGGCAUCGAUGAAGAACGCAGCGAAAUGCGAUAAGUAAUGUGAAUUGCAGAAUUCAGUGAAUCAUCGAAUCUUUGAACGCACAUUGCGCCCGCCAGCACUCUGGCGGGCAUGCCUGUCCGAGCGUCAUUUCCACCAUCAAGCGCUCCCGCUUGCGUUGGGGCCUCUGCGGCUGCCGCAGUCCCCGAAAAUCAGUGGCGGGCUCGCUGUCAUCACCGAGUGCAGUAGUUCUCUAUCCUCUCCGCGAUGCAGCGCUCCUUGCCGUAAAACACCCCCACCUCUCUAGGUUGACCUCGGAUCAGGUAGGAAUACCCGCUGAACUUAAGCAUAUCAAUAAGCGGAGGAAAAGAAACCAACAGGGAUUGCCUCAGUAACGGCGAGUGAAGCGGCAACAGCUCAAAUUUGAAAUCUGGCCUCGGCCCGAGUUGUACUUUGCAGAGGGCGAUUCUGGUGAGGCACCUGCUGAGUCCCCUGGAACGGGGCGCCGUAGAGGGUGAGAGCCCCGUAGCGCAGGAUGCCGACCCGCUGUGAAUCCCCUUCGACGAGUCGAGUAGUUUGGGAAUGCUGCUCAAAAUGGGAGGUAAAUUCCUUCUAAAGCUAAAUACCGGCCAGAGACCGAUAGCGCACAAGUAGAGUGAUCGAAAGAUGAAAAGCACUUUGAAAAGAGGGUUAAACAGCACGUGAAAUUGUUGAAAGGGAAGCGCUCACGACCAGACUUGCGCCGGGGCGAUCAUCCGCUCUUCUGAGCGGUGCACUCGCCCCGGGGCAGGCCAGCAUCGGUUCCGGCGGGGGGACAAAAGCCCAGGGAAUGUGGCUCGCCUCGGCGAGUGUUAUAGCCCUGUCCACAAUGCCCCCGCGGGGACCGAGGUUCGCGCGUCUGCAAGGAUGCUGGCGUAAUGGUCAUCAGCGACCCGUCUUGAAACACGGACCAAGGAGUCAAGGUUUGGCGCGAGUGUCUGGGUGUCAAACCCGCACGCGUAAUGAAAGUGAACGCAGGUGAGAGCUUCGGCGCAUCAUCGACCGAUCCUGAUGUCCUCGGAUGGAUUUGAGUAGGAGCGUCAAGCCUUGGACCCGAAAGAUGGUGAACUAUGCUUGGAUAGGGUGAAGCCAGAGGAAACUCUGGUGGAGGCUCGCAGCGGUUCUGACGUGCAAAUCGAUCGUCAAAUCUGAGCAUGGGGGCGAAAGACUAAUCGAACCAUCUAGUAGCUGGUUACCGCCGAAGUUUCCCUCAGGAUAGCAGUGUUGUUCUUCAGUUUUAUGAGGUAAAGCGAAUGAUUAGGGACUCGGGGGCGCCAUAUUGCCUUCAUCCAUUCUCAAACUUUAAAUAUGUAAGAAGCCCUUGUUACUUAGCUGAACGUGGGCGUUCGAAUGUACCAACACUAGUGGGCCAUUUUUGGUAAG